AGUGAACGCUGGCGGUAGGCCUAACACAUGCAAGUCGAACGGCAGCACAGUAAGAGCUUGCUCUUACGGGUGGCGAGUGGCGGACGGGUGAGGAAUACAUCGGAAUCUACUUUUUCGUGGGGGAUAACGUAGGGAAACUUACGCUAAUACCGCAUACGACCUACGGGUGAAAGCAGGGGAUCUUCGGACCUUGCGCGAUUGAAUGAGCCGAUGUCGGAUUAGCUAGUUGGCGGGGUAAAGGCCCACCAAGGCGACGAUCCAUAGCUGGUCUGAGAGGAUGAUCAGCCACACUGGAACUGAGACACGGUCCAGACUCCUACGGGAAGCAGCAGUGGGGAAUAUUGGACAAUGGGCGCAAGCCUGAUCCAGCCAUACCGCGUGGGUGAAGAAGGCCUUCGGGUUGUAAAGCCCUUUUGUUGGGAAAGAAAAGCAGCAGGUUAAUACCCCGCUGUUCUGACGGUACCCAAAGAAUAAGCACCGGCUAACUUCGUG
rnacentral:rRNA from 1 species